rnacentral:misc_RNA from 1 species
GUUAGAAAAUAAGCCAAAUAAGACUAAUCUUUUUAGGUUUUAUGAUCAUGAAACAAAAGAAAGCAAAGGACACUUAAACACAAUAACAUAGCAUUCGGCUAAAAGAAACAAAUUAACUGAGAUGAAAACUAACGAACUGUAAGGAAAACACAAACCAAGCACACGUGACACAAGAAAACUCACACAACUCUUUUAAUGGUUUUUCGAUUUUAUAGAACAGAAACAAUAACUAACGAAACAAAGACAAAAAGAUAGGAUUGAA